rnacentral:lncRNA from 1 species
UACAGACAAAGAAAUGGAGGCUCACAGAGGUUAAGAAGUUGUAGGGCUGGGAUUUGAACGCAGGGGUUCUAAAAGCACAUGCUUUUAGCCACAGUGUUAUCCUGUUUCAACAGCUACUAGGUGCCUGCAUAAACAUGAGCAGAUAAGAUGGGAGAAUGAAGGUAUUUGAAAUAUGUGGAUUUAAAGCAUCUAGUAAUGAUUAUGAAGAUGCUGAAGGGAUAUGGCUUUGGAUUACAGCAAUAGGCAAGAUGUUAUCUGUUAAUAGACUAAAGAACAGAGAAGUGAUUUCUGUGACUAUAGAGCAAUUUAAAGGAAGAGCUGAGAUUAAACAGUCCCACAUCUGCUUCACUGCUUUGGGUAUCAUUAUUUAUCUAAAUCUCCGGAGCCAUUGAGGACCAAGAUCAUACUUGCUGAAUAAAUGCACGGAACAGGAUCAGAGGAUAGACACAGAAUGGGCCAAGAAGAGAAAUAUUAUUCCUCAUAAGAGCUUGCUUGAUUGCCACCACCAAGGACAUCCCCAAACCAGGGGCAAGAAGGACCAUCAGUAAUUCUUUCCCAUAAAUAGUGACAGGAAGAAAAUAAACGCCCUAUUCUUCAAUGAUUUGAACCACCUCUGGAGCACGAACUUCCUCUAAAUUCACAGGGCAAAUAUCCAUCAUGGGGCAGGUAUCUAUGCUGCCAUGGAAAGUAACAUAAAAUGUACUAAGUCAUCACAGGGAGUUUUAAUUUUGUUUUUAAGGUCAAUUGCCAUGCUGGGGUAAAAAGCAUUGAUCCUUGCCUUUUAUCACCGGAAAAAUUCUUCACCAGUACUUUGUGAAAAUCUCGCCUCAUCAGGGCUGCCAAGGUCAAUGCAACCUAAGUAACCAAGCUGGGAGAUGCUUGCCUAAUUAUUAAAUAUUUAGCAAACAGUUUGUGACUAUUUAACUGUUUGCACCUGGCACCCUCUUUUCACUACGUGAGGCCUCCUGGCACCCUGACCUCUUCCCCCACCCCUACCCACUGCCCAGGCCGCCAGCACCCCUGGGGGGCAAAUACCGGGACCCAAGGGCAUUUCAAAGAAACAGCAGAGGUCACAUUCCAUUUCCUUUUUAUUAAAAAACAUACUUAAAAUGGGGGAGGAGGGCACAGAUCUAAGGUAAAAUCUCUUGCAGUUUUUUCAAGUUCGCAUGCACCGUUGAAAGUUCAUUAGUUAGGGAUUUAAAAGCAAAAAUGUUUCACACAACCAAUUAAACGCCAAGCUUUACAAACGCCUUGGUCUUUGGUUUUGGGAAUCUGUAAAAGUCCG